rnacentral:rRNA from 1 species
GACGAACGCUGGCGGCGUGCCUAAUACAUGCAAGUAGAACGCUGAAGCUUGGUGCUUGCACCGAGCGGAUGAGUUGCGAACGGGUGAGUAACGCGUAGGUAACCUGCCUGGUAGCGGGGGAUAACUAUUGGAAACGGUAGCUAAUACCGCAUAAGAGUAGAUGUUGCAUGACAUUUGCUUAAAAGGUGCAAUUGCAUCACUACCAGAUGGACCUGCGUUGUAUUAGCUAGUUGGUGAGGUAACGGCUCACCAAGGCAACGAUACAUAGCCGACCUGAGAGGGUGAUCGGCCACACUGGGACUGAGACACGGCCCAGACUCCUACGGGAGGCAGCAGUAGGGAAUCUUCGGCAAUGGACGGAAGUCUGACCGAGCAACGCCGCGUGAGUGAAGAAGGUUUUCGGAUCGUAAAGCUCUGUUGUAAGAGAAGAACGAGUGUGAGAGUGGAAAGUUCACACUGUGACGGUAUCUUACCAGAAAGGGACGGCUAACUACGUG